AUUCCAGAUUUGUCCAAAUGUACUAGCCUUUUCGACUUGCAGCUGCGAGACAAUCAGUUUACUGGGGAGGUGCCGGCUUCCUUAGUUACGCUUCCAAAUCUGGUUAACAUCUCUUUGUCAAAUAACAAAUUGCAGGGUCCUUCUCCAGUGUUCAAAUCAUCUGUUAAGGUCACUAAUGAUGGGAAAAACAAUUACUGUACUGUUUCUGGGAAGGCCUGUGAUGUG
rnacentral:misc_RNA from 1 species